rnacentral:rRNA from 1 species
AACGAACGCUGGCGGCGUGCCUAACACAUGCAAGUCGUGCGAGAAAGUUCCUUCGGGAGCGAGUAAAGCGGCGCACGGGUGAGUAACACGUAGGUAACCUGCCCCCCCAGUCUGGAACAACUAGAGGAAACUCUAGCUAAUGCCGGAUGAGACCACGAUCCCCUUCGGGGGUUGCGGCCAAAGAUGGCCUCUACUUGUAAGCUAUCGCUGAGGGAUGGGCCUGCGGGCCAUUAGCUUGUUGGUGAGGUAACGGCUCACCAAGGCUGUGAUGGCUAGCUGGUCUGAGAGGAUGACCAGCCACACUGGGACUGAGACACGGCCCAGACUCCUACGGGAGGUCAGCCAGUGGGGAAUAUUGCGCAAUGGGCGAAAGCCUGACGCAGCGACGCCGCGU